ACAGCGAAACUGCGAAUGGCUCAUUAAAUCAGUUAUGAUCUACAUGACAAAUACUUUACUACUGGAUAACCGUGGUAAUUCUAGAGCUAAUACAUGCAGAAAAGGCCUAACUUCGGGAGGGCUGCACUUAUUAGAUCAAAACCAUCCUGGGUAAAACCAGUUCUAUGGUGAUUCAUAAUAAUUAAGCUGAUCGCAUGGCCUUGCGCCGGCGACGGUA
rnacentral:ncRNA from 1 species